UUGCAUAUGAUCGAAAUAGGUGCCCUACGGGCUUAAUAGGGAAGUUUGGUGUAAAACCAACACGGUCCCGCCGCUGUGACGGAGAGCAAACCUGCAUAAUGCCACUGGAUAUCCCGGGAAGGCGCAGGUAAGCAAUGACCCUAAGUCAGAAGAACUGCCUAUUUAAAAGUCACCGU
rfam:Propionispora sp. 2/2-37 isolate 2/2-37 genome assembly, contig: 2/2_contig14